rnacentral:rRNA from 1 species
UACGUAGGGUGCAAGCGUUAAUCGGAAUUACUGGGCGUAAAGCGUGCGCAGGCGGUGAUGUAAGACAGGUGUGAAAGCCCCGGGCUCAACCUGGGAACCGCGCUUGAGACUGGCACGCUCGAGUUCGGGAGAGGAUGGUGGAAUUCCCAGUGUAGAGGUGAAAUUCGUAGAUAUCAGGAGGAACACCGAUGGCGAAGGCAGAUCUCUGGGCCGUAACUGACGCUGAGGAGCGAAAGCGUGGGGAGCGAACAGG